rnacentral:rRNA from 1 species
GAUGAACGCUGGCGGCGUGCCUAACACAUGCAAGUCGAGCGAUUCUCUUCGGAGAAGAGCGGCGGACGGGUGAGUAACGCGUGGGUAACCUGCCCUGUACACACGGAUAACAUACCGAAAGGUAUGCUAAUACGAGAUAAUAUGCUUUUAUCGCAUGGUAGAAGCAUCAAAGCUCCGGCGGUACAGGAUGGACCCGCGUCUGAUUAGCUAGUUGGUAAGGUAACGGCUUACCAAGGCGACGAUCAGUAGCCGACCUGAGAGGGUGAUCGGCCACAUUGGAACUGAGACACGGUCCAAACUCCUACGGGAGGCAGCAGUGGGGAAUAUUGCACAAUGGGCGAAAGCCUGAUGCAGCAACGCCGCGUGAGCGAUGAAGGCCUUCGGGUCGUAAAGCUCUGUCCUCAAGGAAGAUAAUGACGGUACUUGAGGAGGA